UAACGCGAAGAACCUUACCAAGGCUUGACAUAUACGAGAACGCUGCAGAAAUGUAGAACUCUUUGGACACUCGUAAACAGGUGGUGCAUGGUUGUCGUCAGCUCGUGUCGUGAGAUGUUGGGUUAAGUCCCGCAACGAGCGCAACCCUCGUUCUAUGUUGCCAGCACGUAAUGGUGGGAACUCAUGGGAUACUGCCGGGGUCAACUCGGAGGAAGGUGGGGAUGACGUCAAAUCAUCAUGCCCCUUAUGUCUUGGGCUUCACGCAUGCUACAAUGGCCGGUACAAAGGGCUGCAAUACCGUAAGGUGGAGCGAAUCCCAAAAAGCCGGUCCCAGUUCGGAUUGAGGUCUGCAACUCGACCUCAUGAAGUCGGAGUCGCUAGUAAUCGCAGAUCAGCAACGCUGCGGUGAAUACGUUCCCGGGUCUUGUACACACCGA
rnacentral:rRNA from 1 species